UGCUGCUCUCGACGGCGAGGCUGCUCCCGCAUGAUGGGGCACGAUCGGUGCGGCGCGAGGCGGGGAGCGAGACAAUGAGAAAGAUUCGCGGAGGUGCGGGCAUCUUCAACUCUCGGAGGCGGGUGGAUGACGAU
rnacentral:SRP_RNA from 1 species